AUGCUCAAUUCUGAAGCAUAUUUACUAAAAUUGGAAUGACACAGAUUAGAUUAGCAUGGUCCCUGUCCAACAAGGAAAUGUAAAUUCAUGAAGUGUUCCACAUUAAA
ensembl:snRNA U6 U6 spliceosomal RNA